UUUUUUUCCUUUUUUAAUUUUCUAUCAAACUAUUAUCAACUUUUUUUUAAAAAAAAUUCAGUUUGUGACAGAUAUUUUAUUAUUAGAAAUCCAUACAAUUUAAAUAAUGUUACAUUUAUAUGUAUUUAUGUAUAAAAUGGUCUUCAUAAUUUGGGAUUUUGUAAAAAAAGGGUCUAAAGUUAAUUUGGUUAAUUUUUUUUUUCUGUAACAAAAGUUAAUUGAAUUUAUAAUUUUCUUUUUUGAAUGGGUUGUAUCAGUUAAAUUAUCUUUUUAAG
rnacentral:lncRNA from 1 species